CGAGAGUGAAAACUCCCUAAACCAACUGUUUAUCUACCUGUAUUCGUUGCUUCGGCAGGCGGCCCCCGGGGGGGUUUGUACCUGAGAAAGGCGCCUGCCGAAGGCACCCCAGAACUCUUGCUGUCAGUUGUCAUCUGAGCUAUAAAACAAAAUGAAUCA
rnacentral:misc_RNA from 1 species